GGGGGAUUAGCUCAGUUGGGAGAGCGCUACAAUGGCAUUGUAGAGGUCAUCGGUUCAAGUCCGUUAUCCUCCA
rnacentral:tRNA from 5 species